GAUGAACGCUGGCGGCGUGCCUAAUACAUGCAAGUCGAGCGAACAGACGAGGAGCUUGCUCCUCUGACGUUAGCGGCGGACGGGUGAGUAACACGUGGAUAACCUACCUAUAAGACUGGGAUAACUUCGGGAAACCGGAGCUAAUACCGGAUAAUAUAUUGAACCGCAUGGUUCAUUAGUGAAAGACGGCUUUGCUGUCACUUAUAGAUGGAUCCGCGCCGCAUUAGCUAGUUGGUAAGGUAACGGCUUACCAAGGCAACGAUGCGUAGCCGACCUGAGAGGGUGGUCGGCCACACUGGAACUGAGACAGAGUCCAGACUCCUACGGGAGGCAGCAGUAGGGAAUCUUCCGCAAUGGGCGAAAGCCUGACGGAGCAACGCCGCGUGAGUGAUGAAGGUCUUCGGAUCGUAAAACUCUGUUAUUAGGGAAGAACAAAUGUGUAAGUAACUAUGCACGUCUUGACGGUACCUAAUCAGAAAGCCACGGCUAACUACGUG
rnacentral:rRNA from 1 species